GUAAAGACUCUGCUACAGCCAGCCGUACGUUUGUACAGUUGCACGGCCGCUUCCAUCUUUCCCUCCGAGGAGUACGACCCAACUCACCCCCGCGCCCCCCCGCAAACCCUAGGUCGCCAUGCAUGCUAGCUCGUCGCCGGUCGUGCUGCCGGUCUUCGUCAGGUCGCCGGAUGCUCCUCCCCCGCCUGGAUCUGCGCGCUCCCGAGUCGUGGUCGUCUUCCCCGCCCCCACCCCACAGCCCCCUGGCCUCGCGUGCUUCCUGUUAGGGGGUGCGUUGGCUUGCCGGGCAGCGGCCAUCCCACCACCGGCCGCGGUCGUGCGGGACCGAAUCCGCCUCCCCUGGGUGCAGAUCUGCACAUCCCGGCCCUAGGGGGCUUCCUCGUCGUCGGCUGGUGCUCGUCGUCGCCCCUAAAGGGAAGUUCAAAUGUGUGUGUGUGCGCAGAAGGUGGACCUUCACACCAAGUGCACGGACCACAAGGAUUUCGCGGACAAGCCCGUCGAGGCGGCCAAGCCCAUCGAUCUCGAGGCGCCGCCCAAGUCGGCCUCCUCCUCGGAGGCUAUAUAUGGACGUCGAUGCCCCGGCCUCGGCAAGUGAGGAGCCGCAAGAGAUGGUGGUGCCGGAGGUGAACAAGGAGAUGCUCGCGGACCUCGAGGGCAUGGGGUUUGCCACUGCGCGCCACUAGGGCACUUUAUUUCUCCGGUACCAGCUAAUUCAAAAACAGAGGCUAACAAACCCAGCCUGACUCCUGAGGAAAUGAAGAUUAAAGCGCAGGAGCUAAGAGACUACUAAGCAAAACUAAUGGCAAAGUCAUUGGUGAUGUUAUGACUUCUUCGCCUCUUCUGGUGCGUGAAAAUACUAAUCUUGAUGCUGCCACAAGGUUGCUACUUCAAACCAAGUACGGGAGAUUACCUGUAGUUGAUAGCACAGGGAAACUACAGCGGCCGGAGUUUCAACGAGGGGUGCAGAGGGGUGCCAGGGUUCUGAUGGGCGGCAGUAUUAGAAGAGGUAGGGGCGGGAGGGAGGCCCAGCGGCGGUGGCGGGUUGAGAUGGCCGGUGUGGUGAGGCGGUGGAACGCCGCCGGCCGCCGGCCGCCGGCAUGGAAGAUAACGGGUGGUCCAGGCAUCGGGCGGUUGCUCGGUGGUGGAUACGGCGGCUGCCCGCCGCCGGAGACGGAGGAGGUGGUGGUGGCGGGGGCAGGGUGCAGGUGGGCCUUCUGCGAUGCUGCUGCUCGCAGUCGCACAGCCAUAGCUGCUGCAGCAAGGGCUCUCAAUGAUUUUCUUCCUCCAAGUCGAAAUUCGAUAUGAUACACGCACAAAUGUCUCUCAUCACUGUAAAAACACCAUUGCAACCUCGAAAAUCCAUCAUUUCAACUCGAAAAUGCUAAAAAAUUCAAUAACAUAACUUUCUCUA